GAGGCACGACAAAAUAAGAAAAUGGAAAAUGAAUAUGACAACAAGGUCUCUAGGAACCAUGCAGAACUAUUGGUUACAGAUGAUGAGGUCACAUUGACUGCGUUACAUUCCAACCCAUGUUUUUAUAUGAAAAAGCAGCACAAAAGUGUCCAAGUCUUGAACAAAGACUCAUGCAUUGUGUUGGGUUGUGGUGACAAAUUUGGCAUUUUACCACAUAUCUACUGGUACGAGCUGAUAUUCUGUUCCCAACUGCCAGAGGAUGCUGAAAGUGCCAAAGAUAAUAAGAAGGAAGGGAAUCAGUGGAGAAAGAGGCUGACAACGAGGAUUUGUCAAAGGAGGUUAAUUUUGAACCAAAUGAAACAGCGCAGGAAGGGGGACAGUCAUCGCCUUCCACACUUGAAAGAGAUUCACCAACACAAUUAUAUGAAUGGAGGAAAUCACCUUCGCAUGAUUGUGAGGAAAAGCCGAAGACCAGGAUGAGAAAGCACAGUCUCCGUUAAAGCGGCCCAUAAGCCCAAACAAUGGAGAUGGUGAAGAAAUCAAAAAGGUCAAAACUGACGAUGAUAAUGCUGACGAGGCUGGACCCAGUAAUGGAGCGUCGACAAGUGACGACAAGAACGAUAAUGGACCAGUGCGCGAGAGGUGCAUGUAUGGAGCUAGCUGUUAUAGGAAGAACCUGCAGCACAGGGCGCAGUACUCGCACCCGGCGGACGCGGACUGGCCGGCGGCCGAGCGGCGCGCGUGCGCGUUCGGCGCGGCGUGCCGGCGCCGCGACCCGCGCCACCGCCGCGACUGCGCGCACCCGCCCGCGCCCGCGCCGCCUCGGGACGCGCCGCUGCAGCGCGACGGACGAGGUAGGCAAUUUGUCGAGCGCUAUGGAAACAUAUUCUACAUAAACGCACACACUGUCAACUUCUACGACGAUCACUUCCAAGUCGAGGACUCUGAUGGCGACAGCGUCGACUACGAUUAUGAAUUUUGAGCUUAAAACACCC
rnacentral:misc_RNA from 1 species